rnacentral:tRNA from 1 species
GGUGGGGUUCCCGAGCGGCUAAAGGGAGCAGACUGUAAAUCUGUCGUCUUAGACUUCGAAGGUUCGAAUCCUUCCCCCACCA